GAUGAACGCUGGCGGCGUGCCUAAUACAUGCAAGUCGAGCGAACAGACGAGGAGCUUGCUCCUCUGACGUUAGCGGCGGACGGGUGAGUAACACGUGGAUAACCUACCUAUAAGACUGGGAUAACUUCGGGAAACCGGAGCUAAUACCGGAUAAUAUAUUGAACCGCAUGGUUCAAUAGUGAAAGACGGUUUUGCUGUCACUUAUAGAUGGAUCCGCGCCGCAUUAGCUAGUUGGUAAGGUAACGGCUUACCAAGGCAACGAUGCGUAGCCGCCCUGAGAGGGUUGGCGGCCACACUGGAACUGAGACCCGGACCAGACUCCGACGGGCGGCAGCAGGGGGGAAUCUUCCACAAGGGGCGAAGUUGUAAGGGCGCAACGCCGCGGGAGUGAUAAAGGUCUUCGUAUCGUAAAACUCUUUUAUUAGGAAAAAAAAAAUGUGAAAUUAUCUCGGCCCGUCUUCAGGUUCCUUAAUCAAAAACCCCGGCCAAACUCCGUC
rnacentral:rRNA from 1 species